GUCCACGCCGUAACUAUGUCUACUAGCCGUUGGGAGACUUGAUCUCUUAGUGGCGCAGCUAACGCGAUAAGUAGACCGCCUGGGAGUACGGUCGCAAGACUAAACUCAAAUGAAUUGACGGGGCCCGCACAAGCGGUGGAGCAUGUGGUUUAAUUCGAUGCAACGCGAAGAACCUUACCAGGUCUUGACAUCCUGCGAACCUUUCAGAGAUGAGAGGGUGCCUUCGGGAGCGCAGAGACAGGUGCUGCAUGGCUGUCGU
rnacentral:rRNA from 1 species